GUGUGUGUGUGUGUGCGCGCGCGUGUGUGCGUGUGGCGCGCGCGCGCCUGCCAGUGUGCCAGUGUGUGCGUAAGAAAGUAAGAGACAUGACUUCUGCGUGUCCUAAAGCUUGACAUUGGUAGUUCAUCGCCGUGUCUGAUGACAAAAAGAAUUUCUUCACAUGCAACUAAGUUAGAAGAGGAGAACUUUAAGCAGAUGCUGCCUGUUCAAAAUAGAGACGGAUUUCAAUUGUAGUUUUGGUCAAAAUGUCAACAACAAUUUUCCAGAUGCUUGUGUUUCUGUCCUAGGAAAAAAACAUUUGUGUGGAUUUAAACUCGUUUCAUUUGCACAACAGAGAGGGAAUCAAACUAUUCCACAUGGAAACUUGAAAGAAGCGUAACUCUUAAUAACAUUAACUAAAAUUGUAUGUAUAUUUUAUUGACCUAAUUUUGGAGUAAGGGAACACCUUGUCUCUAAAGCCAUUUUUAGACAUGUCUUAGUCCUCUUUUGGUGGUUUUACAACAUGGCAGAGCCUGAAAACCAAAUGCUCAGUGGGCAUUUGGUUAUCAGGGUCAUGUUCAAAGUAGGAGCUAAUGUUUCAUCAGGUGUCAGCCUUGUGUUUGAAACCGCUUUUGCAAAGACAAAAUUUAUUCUUUUUUCCAAAAAUAAUAAUGGGUAAAAAUCUUAAAAUGUGUAAACAGAGUCGCAACUUUAUAGAACCACAGUCGAAUGGACUUUAACCCACUCUUUAUUAAAGUGUUGUAAAACUUAUUUAUGAGGAUUUUUAUUUUAUCAUUGUAACAUUUUCCGUCAGUCACAGCAACAGUGAAGCUGACGGCUACAUACUGGAAAAAAACAAAGGUUUAUUGGGAAAAGCGCAUGAAUUAAGAGGUAAACACUGACACCAAUAAUCAUUAAAACAGUCUGCUCUAUAGUAAAAUGUUACAGCCUCUUAAGAAAAACCAAAAAAUAUUCUAUUUUUAAAUGAUACUUCUUAUUGCUUUGUUUUUUUUCCCUCAUAUUAACAUUUAAUAGCUACACUAACCUCCAAAAAAGCGCAACAACCAUUACGCACGGCUGUUUCUUUGUGUUUUGGGGCAGGUAUUAAUUCAAAUGUGCGUAUUCGGAAAAAAAUACAAUUCCAGAAAUAAAAAUGAUCAAUGUAACGUUCUGUUGAAUAAUAUAACACUUUUCGUAUUUAAAACAAUUUUCCCACAAGGAUAGACAUUAAAAUCACAGGGUAAAGAUGUUUUAAAAGAUAAUGUUACGCAUCAAAUUAAAAUACCUGCAGCUUUAUUUUGCUUUUUGCUAAAUCUGUAUUAUAUGAAUGAAUAAUCAGUUUUUCAAUUAAAAACCAUCUAAACCCUGAAUGUAACUAUCCCAAAUAGCAAACUGAGCACAGACAGGCAAACGCAGAUAGUUUGUAAAACCAAAUGUUCACUCUAGACAGAGAAAGACUGAGUAAGUUCGGGUCAGAAAAUGGACAAAAGCAGGAUUUAUUUCUGUUUGAAUUGCUAACCAUGUCACAGAGAACACUCCCUGGCUCUCUGCUUUUAGGCCACCGUGGAUCUUGUUUUGAAGAGAGCUGCAACCUGACUCUAAUGUGCUGUGAAUGGGAGACCUGAUCGCGGAUUAAGACCGCUGCGGCUGGCCUGGCCUCACAGCCCGAUGUGCAUAUGAGGACCUGAGGGGCUCCAUGAUGGCUCAUGUGAAACACGACCUCAAAAUAUCACACACACUAAGACACCACAAAUGCCAACUAACGCGCUGCGAGUGUACGAAAACAGGGGGGGAAUGCAUGCAGUUUGUGUACUAUUUGGUGAAAUUGCAGGGACACAAGCGACUGCAGUGUCUUUUUGGGACCACACGCUCCGCCUCUCACUCAAUCCAGACAAAUUCUAUGAGUUGUGCUGAAGCUUUUAAGCUGUAAUUGAGCACAGGAUGCCCAGGAAAACCAAAGCCAGCUCUGCACAGACGUGCGUUUUUAUAGCUGCUAUAGUAUUCUACUGCGCUUUUUUUUCUCCCCGGCCAGACAGACACCACAAAACUGGCCAAGCGUGAUAGGAAGUCGCCACCUAAACGGAGUCAAAGUCAGCAGCUGUGGAUUUUCAACAGCACAGAGAGAAAAAUGGACAAGGGGACACAACCGUGGGCACGACAGCGAUGGCGACGACAGACGGACCACACAAGAGCCACACACACACACACGCACGCACGAAGGAGAAGCUGAUCAACUCCACGGUCAACGGGAGCAGUGGAGACGCACAAAGCUGGAUUAGCCUGCAGAGGGUAUAUCCUGGGAAACGAGGCGUGGAGUAGCGGGCCUAAACAAAAGGACAUAAAAUGACAUUUGUUGUAAUCACGAGAACAAAGAAGAAAUACAUGAAAAUGUAUGACAGGAGGAAAUAAUUUGAAAUAUAAGCAUAGAGAAACCAAAUGCUCAAACUAAACCAUUGCGUCAAAACAUUAGUGGCGUCGUAAGUGAACAAAAAAACUCAGAAUUCAAUUUAAAUUCACAAAUGGUGCAUACUAAGAAAAUAACAUAUCUAAUAAUAGUUCUAACCGAAACUAAUCGGACUGGGCCUGUAGCGAACAGUACAGAUGUGUAUUGUGUUAUCCUUUAUUUAACCAGGAAAACCCCAUUGAGGUUAAGAACCUCUUUUUCAAAAGGGAGUCCUGGCCAAGACACACAAGAGCAAAUACGAAACACUCAACGGUUACAAAUUGACACAGUUAAACACAAGCAGAAUAGAAAUUUAAAAAAAAGAUUAAAUUUACAAGCACAUGAUCAAAAACAAGUGCAUGUUGUCGAGUAUGAGCCUCAAGAACCCAGUUUGGAUUUGAAGCGUUCAAUGAAAUUAACUCAGUUUCCAGUAUUCCAUGCAAAAGGUGAAGAUAUAACCAAAACAAAAAACUGACAUAAGCCAUGUUACCCAGUUCAGCACGGACAUAAGUAAUAGAAAGCAACAAAUGAUCUUGUGAACGGAAAUUGAGGUACAAAUGUAGAUGCAAUAGUCGGAGUAUAUAUAUAUAUAUAUAUAUAUAUAUACACAUACACACAUACAUACAUACACUGGACAGUAUACUAGUGACUGAUCCUGCGGGUGAUUAUGGAUUAAUUACAUAGUGUUUCGCGACAUGUACAUGUUUGCAUUAUAGUUUAACAUCUCCUGUUGUAUUUGGCAUCAUGUGUUAUCCAACAGUGGCGGUGUUGAGGAAAUGUUGACAUCAAACACGCGCAGGGUUUGGAAGCAAUUUCGAAAUAACACAAAUCACUUAGCGCCUCUGAUGCGCCGGUGUUUUCUGCACGUAUAAGAAUCCCGUCUGAUUUCCACAGAUAUAUAAAUGUACACUCUGCGUUUUCAGAUUCGUGUUUAUUCGACAGGACGACAUUUCACAACAAACCUCGCCACUAAAUAAGAUCGUGUGCACCCUCUGAACAUUAUAACAUAUUUUAUGGACAUUCUGAACAAUUUGUUUUAUCCGAAAUCAGGUCAUAUUACGACUCGAUUUAAAGAUUUGAUUUAAAUAUCUUUUUUACCGCACGUAUUUUUUGCGCUCUCGCUUCGGCAAAUCAACACACGCAGCUGAUUUACUAUAACAAGAAAAAGACGAAAAACCAAAUUAAAGAUAUUUAUCUUCCAGUGGGUUUAUUUUGAUUAAAACUGUAAUGUCAGACACUUGUCUUUACGCAUGAAAGGAUGUGAAUGACAGCAGCUUUCAAAAAAGCAGGUUAUUAUACUUUUACUUCGGAGACUAGUAUUUUUUUUAAUGUCAAAGGGGUUUUUAAAAAAUGGUCACAAAAAAAAUUAGACAAAAAGACUUUGACCUACAUUGAUCUGCGUUUCGACUUUGGGUUAGGGAAUUUGUGCAAAAACAAAGGUCACGCAUUCGAGGCAAACAUCGUCCACAUAUGUACUCACUGCACAUGGACAUAUGUUUUUUUUUUUCUUCUAAAACAUCACUAUUAUAUUGUAAAUUAUGUGGCACUUGAUACUUGAAAUCAAAGAAGGUUAUAUACAAAUCAAAGAAGGUUAUAUACGUGGGCACAUAGGGACAAGAAGAAAAAUCCCUAUGUGGAUGAAUAAGUCACCGCCUGGGACAUGGAUAUAAGGCCUUCACAUAAUCUCGGUCAAGUGCUUCUAUUUGACCACUGCCACGGUCCUGGAUAAGAUCGUGUCUGCUCAGGUCGAUGGGUUAUCGCCAGAUUAACUUCAAAACCAGACGGGUCUAUUUUUUCCUUUUUUAAAAAAGAAAAAAAAAAACUGACCAAAGCUGUGUUGCUCAGUGACCGAAGGUUGCAGGCCUCGCCUCCAUUACGCACGGAGAGAGAGCGAAGGUCAAUGUAAAGAGCAAAGCCGAGUGGCUGGUCUCGUCUGCGUCUGGCAAAGCAGAUCACAGACAUUCAGGGACCAGGAGACACCACAGAAAAAAGACAGGUCAUGGUUUUUUUUCUUUUUAGCGCUUUGGUUAAUCCCACAUCUGCCCAAAAGUGUGAGAUUAUUCAGUCAUGCGGAGUAAUACAGACAUUUAUCAUGGAGGAUGUGAAAUCGAUGGAAAAAAUAGGUCAGCUUUUAUAUUUAUUCUCAUGAAAAUAACCAUAUGAUCGUUUACAUUUCCGGUGCAACAUGAUUUAACACAGACACAAAAUGGCACCUAUAGAAAAAUAUGUUAUUUCAAAACGCCCGAUACUACAAAUGUUCUACAAUUACGCCAAGCGUUUGCGGUUUACAUGCAUAUAAAUGCUGCAAGAAGUGUGAAUUUUAUUUUUUUGUAUUGUCAAAAAAAAAAAAAAGGUUAUUUAUGUUCCUUUAAGGAUUUGAAUUAACGGUAACUCUGCGUUUGUCCUGAGUGUGGCAGCAGAACUCAAUUCUUGAACAGUGCAGCCUCCUGUGAUCCCGCUAUAGGAGAGGAGAAGGAGAGAGGGGGCGGGGCUUUGAGCUUUGGAUUCUCACGUCAUGCGUGAGGUUGGAGGCGGGACUUGUGUGCUUGUUUUGGUCUCAGUGAACCAAUAAGAAGCUGCUGUGUGUUUUCUCUCUCUCUCUGCCUGCCCCAAAGGAGCUGCCGCUCGGAUUCACGUCUCCACAGUAAACUUCCGCUCCAAAGCUUCCGCUCCUGUUUUUUUUUUUUUCUUUUCUUUUUUGGGACAGUCAGACGUCACCACUCUUCCUCUCCCAUCUCCGAGCUCCCUGUGUAGCACGUGACGUGCACGCUCCGCGGUGCCUUCGUCACAAGGACGUGCCAUCAAGGACACAGCAUUGCGUGCGCGCGGACAUAUACUGAGCCAAUUACCAGCUGGUCACGUGCGCCUCAUAUUUGCAACAUAUCUCAGUGCUCAGUAUUCACUAAUAAUCCACAAUCAGACCUUCACAAUCAGAUUAAUAUUGUGUUAAUCCCGGGGGCAAGUAUGUAGAAGACUACGAAUAAUCCUGAGGAGGAUGCAUGUUGAUGAUUUCAAACUAAAAACAUGCUCUGAAAUUAAAACCACCAUUGAAAAAAUAAAAUAAAAUCAGUAUCCAUAUGUAGACUUAGUUCAAGUAAUAAUAUCAAAAUCAUUUAAUUGUAGUUAUUAUCAUUGAUCACUUGUCAUUUGGUGAUGCUUGCUCCAGAUUAUAUUAAAGAAAGAAACGAAUGAUUCGAAUUAACACGUGAACUAAACUGUGAGCAAAUGCGAUCUUUAAAAAACAAAGAAAGAAAAAUGUGUUUACAAAAUGUAUAGCCGGUACGUGUAGGGUCAGUCCUAUAUGUAUAUUUAUAUAUAAUAAUGGUCUCGUAAUUUUUCUGAGAGAAGAUAUAAAAUAAACUCAUAUUUAUGUAAAACAGUUUUGCCUUUUAAGGAAAGUCAGUUCAAAUACAGGAGCUGGAUCUCUGGACAAGGACGGAUUAGGUUUCAUGUCGGACUGAAUCCCAUUCAUCACAAACAGCUAGUCCGAUUAUAUACUGCAUUGUCAGUGGUGAGGAGGAACGGAAUACGCGUUACUGUUUAUUAGAGCCACUUUGAAUAGGAAUAUAGUUAUUAUGCGAUUACAUGAGAAUGAUUGUGUAUUCUGGCAACUCUACGUUAUACCAUUCUAAGAUUUAAAAGUCCUGCGUUUGUCGUUACGUAUUUCAUUUGUUUUAGAGAGUGUGUGUGUGUGUGUGUGUGUGUACACUUCAUCGCCAUGCAACUAAGUUAAGUUGCAUGGCGUCUGUUAGCGUCUGCUAAAUGACAUGUAAUGUAAUGUAAUGUAAUGAGAAGAGAGCUUUAAGCAGAUGCUGCCUGUUCAAAAUAAAGACGGAUUUCAAUUGUAGUUUUGGCCAACAACAAAUGUCAACAACAAUUUUCCAGAUGCUUGUGUUUGUCCUUGGAAAAAGAAAUAUUUGUGGAUAAAAACUCGUUUCAUUUGCUUUGUUGAUUCAUCACAUACACAACAGAGGGGAAAUCACUACCUCUCUACAACCUCUCACAUGAGAGCCAAAGGGAACAUGAUUUAAGCGGGUGACUAAGCAUGGUAAUAACAUGACAACCUUUUAUUAAUAAAAGUGUCAAUGAUUA